UUGAUUGGAAGUAUGGUAUUGCUUUUGUUCUUUUCUAUUACAUGAACACUUGUGUUAGGUUCAUCAAGUAUGUUAUUGCUUUCCCUGUUUUGUUCCAAGCUGAAGCCAUGAAAGCUAUGCUGAAGAAGAAUAAAAUGGACUAAAGAAAUGAGCCAUUGCAAGGAGUUCAAGUUGUAUUCCUUCAAUCGCGAGAGAUGAAUGAUCUCACUCUUGUGUUAAUUGUAUGGAUUUUGAGUUACUUGUAUGGACAUCGGAUUUUGAAUUAAUUUUAUAGAUAUUAGAAUUUCAGAUUCUCUUCUCAGGUUUUUGUUGUUUCAAGAUUUUGAAUUAGA